rnacentral:rRNA from 1 species
GAGUUUGAUCCUGGCUCAGAAUCAGCGCUGGCGGCGUGCCUAACACAUGCAAGUCGAACGAGAAAGUGGAGCAAUCCAUGAGUAAAGUGGCGUACGGGUGAGUAACACGUGACUAACCUACCCUUGAGUGGGGGAUAACUUCGGGAAACCGAGGCUAAUACCGCAUAAUACCUUCGGGUCAAAGGAGCAAUUCGCUUAAGGAGGGGGUCGCGGCUGAUUAGCUAGUUGGUAGGGUAAUGGCCUACCAAGGCAAUGAUCAGUAUCCGGCCUGAGAGGGCGCACGGACACACUGGAACUGAAACACGGUCCAGACUCCUACGGGAGGCAGCAGUGGGGAAUUUUGCACAAUGGGGGAAACCCUGAUGCAGCAACGCCGCGUGGAGGAUGAAGUCCCUUGGGAUGUAAACUCCUUUCGACCGGGACGAUAAUGACGGUACCGGUAGAAGAAGCCCCGGCUAACUCUGUGCCAGCAGCCGCGGUAAUACAGAGGGGGCAAGCGUUGUUCGGAAUUAUUGGGCGUAAAGGGUGCGUAGGCGGUGCGGUAAGUCUUCUGUGAAAUCUCCGGGCUCAACUCGGAGUCUGCAGGAGAAACUGCCGUGCUUGAGUAUGGGAGAGGUGAGUGGAAUUCCUGGUGUAGCGGUGAAAUGCGUAGAUAUCAGGAGGAACACCUGUGGCAAAAGCGGCUCACUGGACCAUAACUGAC